rnacentral:rRNA from 1 species
AUUGAACGCUGGCGGCAUGCUUUACACAUGCAAGUCGAACGGCAGCGCGGGCUUCGGCCUGGCGGCGAGUGGCGAACGGGUGAGUAAUGCAUCGGAACGUGCCCAGUAGUGGGGGAUAGCCCGGCGAAAGCCGGAUUAAUACCGCAUACGACCUGAGGGUGAAAGCGGGGGACCGAAAGGCCUCGCGCUAUUGGAGCGGCCGAUGUCGGAUUAGCUAGUUGGUGGGGUAAAGGCUUACCAAGGCGACGAUCCGUAGCUGGUCUGAGAGGACGACCAGCCAAACUGGGACUGAGACACGGCCCAGACUCCUACGGGAGGCAGCAGGGGGGAAUUUUGGAAAAUGGGGGAAACCCUGAUCCAGCCAUGCCGGGGGGGGGAAGAAGGCCUUCGGGUUGUAAACCGCUUUUGUGGGGGAAGAAACCCUCUGGGAUAAUACCCCGGGGGGAUGACGGUACCGGAAAAAUAAGCACCGGCUAACUACGU